AGCGAACGCUGGCGGCAGGCUUAACACAUGCAAGUCGAGCGCCCGUAGCAAUACGGGAGCGGCAGACGGGUGAGUAACACGUGGGAACGUGCCUUUCGGUUCGGAACAACCCAGGGAAACUUGGGCUAAUACCGGAUACGCCCUUACGGGGAAAGAUUUAUCGCCGAAAGAUCGGCCCGCGUCUGAUUAGCUAGUUGGUGGGGUAAUGGCUCACCAAGGCGACGAUCAGUAGCUGGUCUGAGAGGAUGAUCAGCCACACUGGGACUGAGACACGGCCCAGACUCCUACGGGAGGCAGCAGUGGGGAAUCUUGCGCAAUGCGCGAAAGCGUGACGCAGCAACGCCGCGUGGGGGAAGAAGGCCUUCGGGUCGU
rnacentral:rRNA from 1 species